CCCUUAGAUGUUCUGGGAUGCACGCGCGUUACACUGAUUCGUUCAACGAGUUUAUGACCUUGCCUGAUGAGGUGGGGGAAUCUUUUCAAAUCGCAUCGUGAUGGGGAUAGAGUAUUGUAACUGUUAGUCUUCAACGAGGAAUUCCUAGUAAGUACGUGUCAUCAGCUCGUACUGAUUAUGUCCCUGCCCUUUGUACACACCGCCCGUCGCUCCUACCGAUUGAGUGCUCAGGUGAAUGGUAUGGACUGCAUCAGUGUUCGGUCUCCGAAUGUUGACGCGAGAAAUUCUGUGAAUCUUAUUGCUUAGAGGAAGGAGAAGUCGUAACA
rnacentral:rRNA from 1 species